CAGUAGCCGCGGUAAUACGAAGGAUGCAAGCGUUAAUCGGAAUUACUGGGCGUAAAGCGCGCGUAGGCGGCUUUUUAAGUCAGAGGUGAAAGCCCGGGGCUCAACCCCGGAAUUGCCUUUGAAACUGGAAAGCUAGAAUCUUGGAGAGGUCAGUGGAAUUCCGAGUGUAGAGGUGAAAUUCGUAGAUAUUCGGAAGAACACCAGUGGCGAAGGCGACUGACUGGACAAGUAUUGACGCUGAGGUGCGAAAGCGUGGGGAGCAAACAGGAUUAGAUACCCGUGUAGUCCCUGUCUCUUAUAC
rnacentral:rRNA from 1 species